rnacentral:rRNA from 1 species
AUCCUUAGUUGCCAGCAGUCCGGCUGGGCACUCUAGGGAAACUGCCCGUGAUAAGCGGGAGGAAGGUGUGGAUGACGUCAAGUCCUCAUGGCCCUUACGGGUUGGGCUACACACGUGCUACAAUGGUGGUGACAGUGGGUUAAUCCCCAAAAGCCAUCUCAGUUCGGAUUGUCGUCUGCAACUCGACGGCAUGAAGUCGGAAUCGCUAGUAAUCGCGGAACAGCAUGCCGCGGUGAAUACGUUCCCGGGCCUUGUACACA